GCUGACGGGAGCGUUACUGACGCUUAAGCUCGAAGGCGCGGGUAUCGAACAGGAUUAGAUACCCUGGUAGUCCGCGCGGUAAACGAUGGAUGCCCGCUGUUUGCGUCUAACGUAAGCGGCCAAGUGAAAACGUUAAGCAUCCCACCUGGGGAGUACGCCGGCAACGGUGAAACUCAAAGGAAUUGACGGGGGCCCGCACAAGCGGAGGAACAUGUGGUUUAAUUCGAUGAUACGCGAGGAACCUUACCCGGGCUUGAACUGCAGGAGAACGAUCCAGAGAUGGUGAGGCCCUUCGGGGCUCCUGUGGAGGUGCUGCAUGGUUGUCGUCAGCUCGUGCCGUGAGGUGUCGGCUUAAGUGCCAUAACGAGCGCAACCCCUUUCGCCAGUUGCCAUCAGGUGAUGCUGGGCACUCCGGCGACACCGCCACCGUAAGGUGCGAGGAAGGUGGGGAUGACGUCAAAUCAGCACGGCCCUUACGUCCGGGGCUACACACGUGUUACAAUGGGUGGUACAGAGAGCUGGGUGCACGCAAGUUCACCCGAAUCAAGAAAGCCAUCCUCAGUUCGGAUUGGGGUCUGCAACCCGACCCCAUGAAGCUGG
rnacentral:rRNA from 1 species